UUGACACUGAACAUUGAGCCUUGAUGUGUAGGAUAGGUGGGAGGCUUUGAAGCGUGGACGCCAGUCUGCGUGGAGCCGACCUUGAAAUACCACCCUUUAAUGUUUGAUGUUCUAACGUGGACCCGUAAUCCGGGUUGCGGACAGUGUCUGGUGGGUAGUUUGACUGGGGCGGUCUCCUCCUAAAGAGUAACGGAGGAGCACGAAGGUUGGCUAAUCCUGGUCGGACAUCAGGAGGUUAGUGCAAUGGCAUAAGCCAGCUUGACUGCGAGCGUGACGGCGCGAGCAGGUGCGAAAGCAGGUCAUAGUGAUCCGGUGGUUCUGAAUGGAAGGGCCAUCGCUCAACGGAUAAAAGGUACUCCGGGGAUAACAGGCUGAUACCGCCCAAGAGUUCAUAUCGACGGCGGUGUUUGGCACCUCGAUGUCGGCUCAUCACAUCCUGGGGCUGAAGUAGGUCCCAAGGGUAUGGCUGUUCGCCAUUUAAAGUGGUACGCGAGCUGGGUUUAGAACGUCGUGAGACAGUUCGGUCCCUAUCUGCCGUGGGCGCUGGAGAACUGAGGGGGGCUGCUCCUAGUACGAGAGGACCGGAGUGGACGCAUCACUGGUGUUCGGGUUGUCAUGCCAAUGGCACUGCCCGGUAGCUAAAUGCGGAAGAGAUAAGUGCUGAAAGCAUCUAAGCACGAAACUUGCCCCGAGAUGAGUUCUCCCUGAGACUUAGAGUCUCCUGAAGGAACGUUGAAGACGACGACGUUGAUAGGCCGGGUGUGUAAGCGCAGCGAUGCGUUGAGCUAACCGGUACUAAUGAACCGUGAGGCUUAACCUUACA
rnacentral:rRNA from 1 species